AGGACGAACGCUGGCGGCGUGCUUAACACAUGCAAGUCGAGCGGAAAGGCCCUUUCGGGGGUACUCGAGCGGCGAACGGGUGAGUAACACGUGAGUAAUCUGCCCAUCGCUUCAGGAUAGCCAUCGGAAACGGUGAUUAAUACUGGAUAUGACAUUCCUUCGCAUGUUGGGGUGUGGAAAGUUUUUUCGGCGGUGGAUGUGCUCGCGGCCUAUCAGCUUGUUGGUGGGGUAAUGGCCUACCAAGGCUUUGACGGGUAGCCGGCCUGGAGAGGGUGACCGGCCACGACUGGGACUGAGACACGGCCCAGACUCCUACGGGAGGCAGCAGGUGGGGAAUAUUGGACAAUGGGG
rnacentral:rRNA from 1 species